UUUUGAUGCUGGGGCUUAUGGCCUGUGCUCAGGUCGGGUAAGGGGCAGUUAAAUAUUUAUGCCAGCAGCUGUAGGUAUAAAGCUCCCUUUGGCAAGUUGUCUUUGGCUAGCUGGUUAGAGUACAGGUAUAUGCCCGCCGGAUAUUCGCUGUAUUUUUUUUUUUUCUUUUCUGGGAUGUACAGCAGAGAAAGAGUUACCUCAAUGUUAGCUUAAAGAGACAAUAUCACUCUUGUGUGUCUGUGUGUGUGUGUGUGUGUGUGUGUGUGUGUGUGUGUGUGUGUGUGUGUGCUGGCUGACAGGAAAGCAGAUUUGUGUAAAUGCAGCAAAUAUAUUAGUGCCACUUGCCCAAGAAUGCACCUUAAGACAUUUAAGACCUAAGUCACUGUCUUUCAUUAAAACAACAUUAUAUUUUCUUUGAUCUUCUUUAAACUUCCCUGGACAGAGCUUAGGUCAUACCUCUGUGUCACAAUGUUGUGUACCUAGUAAUUAGAUUAGGUUGUGGUGAAUUGGUCAUGCUGGCUGUACACAGAAAUGGCCAACUCAAAUUUUGCCUACUGGUUUGUGCUAUUGAUUUCAGAUAUAGGAGUUUGCCCCUGAUGCAUUUAUUCCCCCUACCAGUCGAGGAUAGCCUGUGACAUGGGUGUGCACAUCUGCUUAUGUGUGUCUGAGUGUGUGUGUGUGUGUGUGUGUGUGUGUGUGUUUGUCUGUGUGUGUGUGUGUUGCAGACAGAGGCCAAGGAGUAGUUUUAAGCAACCAAACGCACUGAUACAUGAAAUAAGAUGUGUCUCUCUGGGACUGAAACUUCCUCUAACCUCCACUGCCCCUUUGUAAGAAUUCAAGAGUGGUUCAAGAGUCUUCUGUCUUUAUGUAGCAAUGCUAUUAAAAGAAAAUGCAUUUUUCAUCUCAUUCUGUAACUGGGUUUCCAACAAAAUGACUUGCUUUUAUAAUCUUUUACUAUUUUAUUUAAAGAAUUUACCAUUUUGAAACUAAAGCAACACCAAUGGUUUAGCCCAUAUAUUUGAAUUCACCAUUUCAAGGCAGGUUUAUUCUGUUAAAUGUCUGUGUGUGCGUGUCCCCUGAUAGAAGAAUGCUAGUUUUUUCCUCCCACUUUAAAUCCUAUUUACGACAUAUUUAACUGAACCUAGAACAAUACGUGGAUGUACCAUCUUUGUCAUCUGUCCGGUUCUGCAGCCCAUGUUCCCUGUUCAGUUUUUCCUGCGAGUGGCCCCAUGUACAAUCAACACUACAUUUAUCAAUGUGUCCAAAUGAGUCAUGCUGGGAAUGACAAGAUACUGUAUAUACUAAAAAAUACUAUAAAUAAGGAGUAUAAAUAUUUUUAGGCAAGUGAACCCGAAUCUGUGCGUUGUGUGCCUUAUUCACGAAUACAGUAUAUAAUAUUGGCAACGUCAAUUGGUCCUCUGUAUGUUAUGUCAUAUGCUCGCUAUAUGAGUGAUUUUUACGUAAGCAAAUUGAAAUUUUAGCAGGAUGCGCGUCGGAAAUCCAAACUGAAGCGAUACUGAAAACACACUGACAAACAUUCCAUUUGUGGAUGCGAGUCACGCAAAGGGAAAGCAAAAACACCUACUGGGAUAUAAAUCAGUUCGUUCCUCCUUUACUGCCGGUGUUGAAAUGAGUGGCGUUAAUCCACCAGGUAAAGGUGCCAUGCAGUGAAUGUAUUUUUCUUGAACGUGGGAUGUAGGGUGGUGAGACCUUGCACUGUGGAGCAGUCAGCUCGACGCAGCAUAUCCUGCCCACAGCCGAUGUAUUAACACAGUGUUCACACGAAAGCCGUCUUUUGGCAUGGCCGCGCGGAAUCUGUAAUUCCCCCAGGAUUGCAGGACAGGAGUUGUUUCUAUUGGCCAGCAGUGACGACCAAGGGAUCAUUUCUCGUAGCAGUGGGUACUUAUUUUUAUUUUUUUCUUUUGUGAGGGCAGGGGGGGGGGAUUCUGCAAUCUUAUUCGAGCGUCAGUUGCCUGUUCAAGCCCAAAGCCACAUUUUGUUUACAAGUGAUGAUUGUAUGUAAAGACUUUCUGCCUGUCAUCGAACCAGAGUCUGGGCUGUCUCUUUUCUACUCGACACAUGCACACUGACAUCACAGACACACACUCAGCAUACACUGUUCAACUGCCUUGUACAUUGCAAUAUGAACUGGGUCUUUCAGUUGCAAUCUAAAUUGAAGCCUUUAUAUUUCAGUCUGGUGUACGUGCAGAUGAACCAGAUUUUGUCAUGUAAUUCUAAUUUAAAUACUGUGCAACGUGGCGAUGAGAGGCCAGCUGAUCUCCAGAGUAUUUGAGCGUGUAGAUACGUUGUAAAAUUGUACUGUGAAUGUGUAAAUAAUAAUGAUGGUCUUUGUUUCAUGAUAUUUUUUGUUGUUGUUUUUUCUUUUCUUUUUUUAACACGGCAUGUAUAGUUGAAAUAAAACAUUACUGCACAGAAA